rnacentral:misc_RNA from 1 species
GAUGAAGAACGCAGCGAAAUGCGAUACUUGGUGUGAAUUGCAGAAUCCCGUGAACCAUCGAGUCUUUGAACGCAAGUUGCGCCCGAAGCCACUAGGCCGAGGGCACGCCUGCCUGGGCGUCACACGCCGUUGCCCCCCCAUCUACUCCUUCGGGAUUGCGGGGGGGCGGAUGAUGGCCUCCCGUACGCCUAGCCGCGCGGUUGGCAUAAAUACCAAGUCCUCGGCGACGCACGCCACGACAAUCGGUGGUUGCGAAACCUCGGUUGCCCGUCGUGUGCGUUCGUCGCGCAUCGAGGGCUCGAAAAAAUGCUCGGCUCCGGCUGGGCUUUCAACGCGACCCCAGGUCAGGCGGGGUUACCCGCUGAAUUUAAGCAUAUCAAUAGCGGAGA